ensembl:lncRNA
AUCCAACUCCUGAAAAUAAUCCUCCUGAUGUGAGCAGGAAAAAAAACAGCACUGCACAAAUAUUUUUCAUUGGUGCAAAAUUCAAUGAGCUAUGCUCAUGAAGCUCCAGUAGUUCAAAGUCUCUCUCAAUUGCUUUAUUCAUUAUUAAGUAGCAAAGCAGAAGUUGUAGCACAAAAGAGAAUGCAUGUGUGAAAUUGCUGAAGAGGGGAGUACCACGAGGAAGAAGGUGAAGGAGAAUACAGAAGGCUUUUUGAGCUGCUUCUGCCAAAGAAGAUAUGACAAAAGGGAUCAUCUGCAUCUUAAAUAGUUAUAUAAUAUGCCUGUGACAGAAACAAGACUGCAAAGGAGAAUCUGAAGCCACAUUCAGAAAUGACAGCAUGCAGAAGAUGCUGCAAAUCUUUCUGCCAGAUCACUCAUGAAGUACUUAAAACCACGUGUCUUCUUGGGAACAGAGGACCAGACUUCUGUGGAAUCUUUCUGAAACAUCAGAUUCUUCAAAGCACAAAUUAAAGCUCACCUGAAGAUACAAUAUAGUUUCAUUUUGGACUAGGCUUCAGAGACUGCAAGGGGAAUUGGUGACAAGAUGAUAGAUCAGUUUCACCAUAUUGGCUUGUUGAUCCAAUAAACAUAAAGUCAAUAUUGGCAUUUGUCAUUCAGCUUUGGACCCCUACAGACUCCUGCUGCUGAUUAG